AUUGAACGCUGGCGGCAUGCCUUACACAUGCAAGUCGAACGGUAACAGGUUAAGCUGACGAGUGGCGAACGGGUGAGUAAUACAUCGGAACGUGCCCAGUAGUGGGGGAUAGCCCGGCGAAAGCCGGAUUAAUACCGCAUACGACCUAAGGGUGAAAGGGGGGGAUCGCAAGACCUCUCGCUAUUGGAGCGGCCGAUGUCAGAUUAGCUAGUUGGUGGGGUAAAAGUUCACCAAGGCGACGAUCUGUAGCUGGUCUGAGAGGACGACCAGCCACACUGGGACUGAGACACGGCCCAGACUCCUACGGGAGGCAGCAGUGGGGAAUUUUGGACAAUGGGCGCAAGCCUGAUCCAGCCAUGCCGCGUGCGGGAAGAAGGCCUUCGGGUUGUAAACCGCUUUUGUCAGGGAAGAAAUCCUUUGGGUUAAUACCUCGGGGGGAUGACGGUACCUGAAGAAUAAGCACCGGCUAACUACGUG
rnacentral:rRNA from 1 species